ensembl:ncRNA ZK973.24 ncRNA
CUAAUAAAUCAUCGUCACGUCCUUGAAGGGGUGGGCGCCCGAGUGAUUUGUGUAAGGCGAGAUAAAGCCCCCUGGUUUGCUUUUGUCGGGUCGACUCCUUUCAUCUACUCUUUUAUCCAAACUUUCCC